GUGCUCGCUUCCACAGCACAUAUGCUAAAAUUGUAGCAAAACAGAGAAGAUUAGCUUGGCCCCUAGAUAACAAGGAUGACACACAAAUUUGUGAAGCAUUCCAUAGUUUU